rnacentral:rRNA from 1 species
GCUUAACACAUGCAAGUCGAACGGAAAGGCCCUGCUUUUGUGGGGUGCUCGAGUGGCGAACGGGUGAGUAACACGUGAGUAACCUGCCCUUGACUUUGGGAUAACUUCAGGAAACUGGGGCUAAUACCGGAUAGGAGCUCCUGCUGCAUGGUGGGGGUUGGAAAGUUUCGGCGGUUGGGGAUGGACUCGCGGCUUAUCAGCUUGUUGGUGGGGUAGUGGCUUACCAAGGCUUUGACGGGUAGCCGGCCUGAGAGGGUGACCGGCCACAUUGGGACUGAGAUACGGCCCAGACUCCUACGGGAGGCAGCAGUGGGGAAUAUUGCACAAUGGGCGGAAGCCUGAUGCAGCAACGCCGCGUGCGGGAUGACGGCCUUCGGGUUGUAAACCGCUUUCGCCUGUGACGAAGCGUGAGUGACGGUAAUGGGUAAAGAAGCACCGGCUAACUACGUGCCAGCAGCCGCGGUGAUACGUAGGGUGCGAGCGUUGUCCGGAUUUAUUGGGCGUAAAGGGCUCGUAGGUGGUUGAUCGCGUCGGAAGUGUAAUCUUGGGGCUUAACCCUGAGCGUGCUUUCGAUACGGGUUGACUUGAGGAAGGUAGGGGAGAAUGGAAUUCCUGGUGGAGCGGUGGAAUGCGCAGAUAUCAGGAGGAACACCAGUGGCGAAGGCGGUUCUCUGGGCCUUUCCUGACGCUGAGGAGCGAAAGCGUGGGGAGCGAACAGGCUUAGAUACCCUGGUAGUCCACGCUGUAAACGGUGGGUACUAGGUGUGGGGUCCAUUCCACGGGUUCCGUGCCGUAGCUAACGCUUUAAGUACCCCGCCUGGGGAGUACGGCCGCAAGGCUAAAACUCAAAGGAAUUGACGGGGCCCCGCACAAGCGGCGGAGCAUGCGGAUUAAUUCGAUGCAACGCGUAGAACCUUACCUGGGUUUGACAUGGAUCGGGAGUGCUCAGAGAUGGGUGUGCCUCUUUUGGGGUCGGUUCACAGGUGGUGCAUGGCUGUCGUCAGCUCGUGUCGUGAGAUGUUGGGUUAAGUCCCGCAACGAGCGCAACCCUUGUUCACUGUUGCCAGCACGUUAUGGUGGGGACUCAGUGGAGACCGCCGGGGUCAACUCGGAGGAAGGUGGGGAUGACGUCAAGUCAUCAUGCCCCUUAUGUCCAGGGCUUCACGCAUGCUACAAUGGCUGGUACAGAGAGUGGCGAGCCUGUGAGGGUGAGCGAAUCUCGGAAAGCCGGUCUCAGUUCGGAUUGGGGUCUGCAACUCGACCUCAUGAAGUCGGAGUCGCUAGUAAUCGCAGAUCAGCAACGCUGCGGUGAAUACGUUCCCGGGGCUUGUACACACCGCCCGUCAAGUCAUGAAAGUUGGUAACACCCGAAGCCGGUGGCCUAACCGUUGUGGGGGAGCCGUCGAAGGUGGGACUGGUGAUUAGGACUAAG